GUUGUUAUUUAAAAUGUGUAAAAUUGAUAAAUAAUGAGUUAGAUUUGAAUUAGAAUAUAUGAUGAGUUACAUUAGUUAUUUUGACCCUUUCCCCUAGUUUCCACGUAGAACAGAUAUGCAUUUAUCCUUAUAUGCCAAUGUAGAAAAAAAAUCCUUUGUGUCAUAGUUUCUUUUAUUCAUUCAGGCUUCUGCACUGCCAUUUUCAAUGAGAGACAAGAAAACUCUUGGUUCAAACCCCACUAAACGUCCUUAAAGCCAGCAUCGCAACUAAUGCUAAAAACUCUUAUUUCUUUGUGUUUCUCAGCUCUCCUCCCAUUUCCUUCUGCCAGGUGCCUCCUUUUAAGAGCAGCUUUGAGGGGAAGUCUUUACAGGAUUAGUGUUCUCUGUUCGAGCAGCCUGACACUUGCUGAGCAAUUUCCUGAAUCUCUGUGUUGGGAAUGUUCUAGAAAGUGCACAGUGCUGACUACAGGAUUACGCAGAGACUUGUUCCAGCCAGAAGCCAGACAACAGCUCUUUGGACUCUCAUUCUGACGGCACCCAUUCACUGCAGAGGAUCCAUUAGUGGGCAGCUCUGUGACCUGAUGGCUCUCACCCUUGGCCUUAUUAUUAAAAACAUGAUACCUGUUUCCACAUCUGUCAACAAGCCACUGCAGAGCUUCUCCC